GGGAGGCGGGCAAUGAACCAGCAGUUAAAUGGGGAUACAUAUGCAUUGUAGUUGUUUAAAAUUUACUUCCUCUACUCCUCAACAACUCAGAGUGUACAAUUUCACUUUUUACUGAGUGAUCAUUUCUAGAUUUGACUCAUUUAUCUUGAUUGGAAUCUUUAAUAGGAUCUCUCCAUUAAAAAGUUUGAAAAAUCCCUUGUGGAUCAAGACACAUGAGGCUAAAACUGCACAUUAUACAUACCAAAGCUGAAAACACACACUUCCUUUGAAAUCUCGCCGUUUGUGACAACAUGGACGGACCUUGACGGUAUUAUGCUAAGUCAAACUGAGAAAGACAGCAUAUGAUUUCACUCAUAUGUAGAAUAAUAAUAAAAAAAACCUAAUAAACUAACAGCAAAAUACAUGAGGAACCAAACCAAAGAAAAGCAUGUGGAUGCAGAGAACAGAGUAGUGGUUACCAGAGGGGGAGGGUGAAAUGAGUAAACGGGAACAACUGUAUGUCACGAACAGAAACUAAAAUUUUCGUGGUGGGUGGGCUAUAGGGUAUACAGAAAUGUGCACGUGAAACUUAUAUGUUAUAACCCAAUGUUACUCUGAUGUAAAAAAAUGAUUUUAAAAGAGAAGAAAGAAAAAAUACAUUUCUUUGACCUAAUAAUUCUAUUGUUGGAAAUACAACAUACCCUUUAGGUAUACUAGCAAAAGUACAGCAAGUCUUGUGUUUCACAAUAUCAGUGAGAUGGUUAGGACAUAAUGUAAAUGUCCUAAAAUAAUUGACAUGAGAUUGGUUAAAAAUGACCAUGAACACAAUACAGCAAUAAAAUGUACCUGGUACAUUUGCCUUAGGUGCUGACACUGAAAGGCUCCUGGAUACAUGAUGAUUAAGUGAAGAAGAUAAGGAGCAGAACAUUCUGUAUAGUAUGAUCCAAUUUUUGUACAUUUUAAAAAGGUAACACACACACAUACUGAUAGUUAUAAAGCAUUUAUAAAGUAAAAUCCCUCAAACUGUUAAUAAUCAUUCCUAGUGGAAUUUUUACAACAUCCAUGUAUCACUUGUUUUCCAGACACUACUAGAAACCUAAAUUUAAAUCAUUUUGUAAUAUUUGUAAGCUGAUGUCAAAUAAUCCUUGGGAUUUUUUUGUUAAUAAAAAUGUUACCUUAAAGGUCUGACUUACUUAGAUUAGUAACUCCUUUGCUUUUCAGAGAUCAGAUAUGUUAGACGGAGCUUUUAGUUUGCAGGGGAAUCAGACAGCCAGCAACAACCAUGACAAGGAACAGAAAUAAUCAGUUAAACCUGAGAUACAUGGUAAGCUAGAAAAGUGCUGAGUAGAAAAGCUGAAUCUAGUUUAGAACAGGAAUGGAAGGAUAGAUAAGGCCUCUGGAGAAAUAUUAUUUAAACCCUGAGGCAUGGAGUAGCUUCCAGUGCAUUUCUUGUAAUGGUCUCUACUGUUAAAUAUCACAUACGAUGAUAUUCACCAGCUCCUAGAUAAAUUAAAUGCCGUAUGUUGCGCGUGGAGUCUAUCAGAGCUGAAGUCUUCAUGGAAGGAGCUGAAGUGAGGAGGGUCCCACAGCACAGACAGAGCUGCCUUAGUGGAUCAUUUGGUCCCCUGACGGACAGACAGAAUGCAGGCAUGCGCGCUAUGACUGCUCUCUCCACUUACCACAAAUCCCCUGGAUCACCAGGCUGCUGAACUUUCUACAUGACCUUGUCAGGCAUAGUUGAACUCUCCAGGCCACUGUACAUUUCCUCGGGGGAGAAGGUCUUCUCACUUCAUGAUCAAGUGUGAGCCUGAGGAACACGGGGAAACCCUCCACCUCUGCCCCCGAAUUCCCAGCCAUCCCGGCAAAGAGGAUGGGCCCGAGGCUUUUAGGGCUUUUCUCUCUUCUGGAGAAGCCAGUUUCCAUCUGAUGUUUGAGAAGAAAAAUGAAAAGAUACAGCCUACAACACAAGUGGGAGACACACAAUAGCAACAGGAAAAAGGAUGGGCUCAGAGGCUUCGUCCAUCCAGGCAGAAGAAAGUACUAAGUCACCCAUCAGAAUUGCUAAAAUGAAGAAAAACUGUCAAUAUUGAUGGUAGGUAAGAAUGGGGAGUAACUGGAAUUUUCACAUGCUGUUCAUGAGAACAUAAAUUGGUAUAAACCCUUUGGAAAACUGUUUGGCAGAAUCUGCUAAAGCUAAACCCUCUGACUGAGCAAUUCCUCUCUUGGGUAAAAACUCAAAAGACCAUGAAACUAGAAAUCAACUACAGAGAAACAAAGGAGAAAAAAAAGGAUAGUGUGGAGAUUAAACAACAUGCUAUUAAAAAACCAAUGGGUCAAUGAUGAAAUCGAAGUUGAAAUUAAAAACUACCUUGAGACAAAUGAAAAUGAAAACACAACCACACAAAAUUUAUGGGACACAGCAAAGGCAGUGCUAAGAGAGAAGUUUAUAGUGAUACAGGCCUUCCUCAAAAAAGAACAAUCUCAAAUAAAUAAUCUAACCCACCAGCUAAAAGAAUUAGAAAAAGAAGAGCAAAAAACCCCAAAAGGCAGCAGAAGGAAGGAAAUAAUAAAGAUCAAGGGGGAAACAAAUUAAAGAGACUAAAACAAAACAAAACAAAACAAAAAAAACCCCAAAAGCUGGUUUUUUGAAAAAGUAAGUAAAAUCGACAACCUCUGGCCAAACUCACAAAAAAGAAAAAAGAGCACAAAUAAGCAAAAUAAGACAGGAAAAUGGAGACAUUACAACAAAUAACAUAGAAAUACAGAAUAUCAUAUGAGAAUAUUAUGAAAAAGUAUAUGGAACCAAAAUGGAUAACCUAGAGGAGAUGGACAAGUUUCUGGAAACAUACAGUCCACCAAGACUGAACCAAGAAGAAACUGACCACUUGAACAAGCUGAUCACUAGAAAUGAAAUUGAAUUAGCAAUAAAACAACCUCCCUGCAAAUAAAAGUCCAGGACUGGACAGCUUCACUGGGGAAUUCUACCAAACAUACAAAGAAGAACUCAUACCAGUCCUUCUCAAACUCUUCCAGAAGAUGGAAAAGGAGGGAAUACUCCCAAACUCAUUCUAUGAAGCCACCAUGACCCUGAUACCAAAACCAGGCAAAGACACUACCAAAAAAGAGAAUUAUAGGUCAGUAUCACUGAUGAACAUAGAUGCAAAAAUCCUCACCAAAAUAUUAGCAAAUAGGAUCCAACAGCACAUAAAAAAGAUUAUACAUCAUGACCAAGUGGGGUUCAUCCCAGGGACACAAGGGUGGUUCAACAUACACAAAUCAAUCAAUGUAAUACAUCACAUCAACAAGAGAAAGGACAAAAACCACAUGAUCAUCUCAAUAGAUGCAGAAAAGGCAUUUGAUAAAAUUAAGCACCCAUUUAAUGAUAAAAACUCUCACCACAGUGGGUAUAAAGGGAACAUAUCUCAACAUAAUAAAAGCUAUAUAUGACAAACCUAUAGCCAGCAUAGUACUCAACGGUGAAAAACUCAAAACCAUCCCACUAAAAUCUGGGCCAAGACAAGGAUGCCCACUAUCACCACUCCUAUUCAACAUAGUCUUGGAAGUGCUAGCCACAGCAAUCAGGCAAGUGAGAGAAAUAAAAGGGAUCCAAAUUGGAAAAGAAGAGGUAAAAGUGUCACUAUAUGCCGACGACAUGUUACUAUACAUAGAAAAUCCUAAAAGGUCCACACAAAAACUACUAGAGCUGAUUGAAGAAUUCAGCAAGGUAGCAGGUUACAAGAUUAACGUUCAAAAAUCAGUUGCAUUUCUUUAUACUAACGAUGAAUCAACAGAAAAAGAAAGUAAAGAAACAAUCCCCUUUAAAAUAGCACCCAAAGUAAUAAAAUAGCUAGGAAUAAAUCUAACCAAGGAGGUGAAAGAAUUAUACAUAGAAAACUAUAAACCAUUGAUGAAGGAAAUUAAAGAAGACUUUAGAAACUGGAAAGAUAUCCCAUGCUCCUGGAUUGGAAGAAUCAAUAUUAUUAAAAUGGUCACUGUCCAAGGUAAUCUACAGAUUUAAUGCAAUCCCUAUCAAAUUACCCAGGACAUAUUUCACAGAACUAGAAAAAAUCAUAAUAAAAUUUAUAUGGAACCACAAAAGACCUAGAAUUGCCAAAGCAUUACUGACAAAAAAGAAAGAGGCCGGAGGAAUAACUCUCCCAGACUUCAGACAAUACUAUAGAGCUACAGUCAUCAAGACAGCAUGGUAUUGGUACAAAAACAGACAUACAGACCAAUGGAACAGAAUAGAGCCCAGAAAUGAACCCACAAACUUUUGGUCAACUAAUCUUCGACAAAGGAGGCAAGAAUAUACAAUGGAAUAAAGACAGUCUCUUCAGCAAAUGGUGUUGGGAAAACUGGACAGCAGCAAGUAAAUCAAUGAAGCUAGAACACUCCCUUAAACCAUACACAAAAAUAAACUCCAAAUGGAUCAAAGACUUAAACAUAAGAAAGAUACAGUAAACCUUCUAGAGGAAAAUAUAGGCAAAACAUUAUCUGACAUAUAUCUCAAAAAUGUUCUCCUAGGGCAGUCUACCCAAGCAAUAGAAAUAAAAGCAAGAACAAACAAAUGGGACCUAAUAAAACUUACAAGCUUAUGAACAGCAAAGGAAACCAUAAGUAAAGCAAAAUGACAACCUACGGAAUGGGAGAAAAUUUUUGUAAAUGAAACCAACAAAGGCUUGAUCUCCAGAAUACAUAAGCAGCUCAUACGACUUAAUAUGAAAAAAGCAAACAACCCAAUCCAAAAAUGGGCAGAAGACCUAAACAAGCACUUCUCCAAGGAAGAAAUACAAAUGGCCAAUAGGCACAUGAAAAUAUGCUCAAUAUCACUAAUUAUCAGAGAAAUGCAAAUCAAAACUACAAUGAGGUAUCACCUCUCACCAGUCAGAAUGGCCAUCAUUCAAAAAUCCAUAAAUGACAAAUGCUGGAGAGGCUGUGGAGAAAAGGGAACCCUCCUACACUCUGGUGGGAGUGCGAUUUGGUGCAGCCACUGUGGAAAACAGUAUGGAGAUUCCUUAAAAGACUAGGCAUAGACUUACCAUAUGACCCUGUAAUCCCGCUCCUGGGCAUAUAUCCAGAAGGAACCCUACUUCAAAUGACACCUGCACCCAAAUGUUCAUAGCAGCACUAUUUACAAUAGCCAAGAGAUGGAAGAAGCCUAGAUGUCCAUCAAUAGAUGACUGGAUAAAGAAGAUGUGGUAUAUUUAUACAAUGGAAUACUCUUCAGCCAUAAAAACCAACAACAUAAUGCCAUUUGCAGCAACACGGAUAUUCCUGGAGAAUGUCAUUCAAAGUGAAGUAAGCCAGAAAGAGAAAGAAAAAUACCGUAUCAGAUCGCUUAUAUGAGGAAUCUAAAAAAACAAACAAAACAUAAAUACAAAACAGAAGCAGACUCAUAGACAUAGAACCCAAACUUGUGGUUGCCAAGGGGGUGGGGGCUGGGAAUGGACAGACUGGGAUUUCAAAAUGUAGGAUAGAUAAACAAGAUUAUACUGUAUAGCACAGGGAAAUAUAUACAAGAUCUUAUGGUAGCUCACAGAGAAAAAAAUGUGACAAUGAAUAUAUAUGUGUUCAUGUAUAACUGAAAAAUUGUGCUCUACACUAGAAUUUGACACAACAUUGUAAAAUGAUUAUAACUCAAUAAAACUGUUUAAAAAAAAACUCAACAGAAAUGCCAGCAUAAUGCACAUUAAAAGACAGGUAAACAAAUGUUCCCAGCAGCAUUAUCAUAGUUAUCUCCACAGUAAAACAACCCAAAUGUCUACCUACAGUAGAGUAAAAUAAAAUGAAUAAAUGAAGCACUAUACAGCAAUAAGAACAAAGGAAUUACUGCUGCAUGCAAAAACAUGGAUAAUUCUCAGAAACAGAAUGCUGAAUGAAAGAACUCAGACACUCAAGAGUAUAUACUGUAUGAGUCUGUUCAUACAAAGUUCAAAUAUAGGCAAAAUUAAUCUGAUGAUGGAUGUCAGAGUAGUAGUUACUUUUGGGGAGAGGCUACUUGGGAAGGUGUGCAGAGAGAAGCUUGGUACUGGCAGUGUUCUAGGGCUUAAUCUGGGCGGGGAUUACACCAGGGAGUUCCCUUUGCUAAAAGGUCAUUGAGUUCUAUGCUUCCUAUUCAGACAGUUUUCUGUAUAUAUGAUAUAUGGCAAAUAAAAAGGCUUAUGAGAAAAAAGAAACUUAUUCUAUGCCUACCACAUACUAAGUUCUUUUUAGGUUCAAGGGAUUUAAAAAAAGAGAAAAAGACAAGGAGCCAGUUGUCAUGGAGUCUACAUUCUAGUGGGAGGGGAUAACAAAUACAUAAAAAUAGCUUAAAGAUUUCAAAUAGUGGCAAGUGCCAUGAUGAUAAUUAAACUGGGUGAGGUGAUAAUGGUUAGGAGUUGGGGACAGGAUCAUCUGCUGAGAUCAGAGAAGUCCUCUCAGAGGUGGUGACACGUGAGCCAGUCUGGCCAACACAGCAAGUGGAACACAGCAAGCGGAGGGACAGACAAUGGCAGAGCAGGAGUGAGCUGGGUGUGCUGGUGGGGCCAGGCCAGGGAGGCCGCCAGUGACAGGGGCUGGAGGGAAACUCAGUUCAGCAGGUGGGCAGGGACUCGCACUUGGAGGGCCUCUGAGGAUUUUAUAUGGUUAUAGUGAUAGUAAUAUUAAUAAAAAUAAUAAUAAUAUUUAUUUUAUUCUAACUGUACUGCAUAGGCAUUGGUGGGUUUUAAGCAGGGGAAUGAUAUGUGAUUUAUGGUUUUUUUUUUUUUAAUGGAGGUACUGGGGAUUGAACCAGGACCUCGUGCAUGUUAAGCUCGCACUCUACCACUGAGCUCUACUCUCCCCACUGUGAUUUCUGUUUGAUAAUGAUAACUCAGGCUGCUGUGUGAAGAAUGGACUGUAAGACAAUGAGAUACGCUACAAAAAGUAAUAUACCAUUAAUAGUUAAUAUAUAAUUAAAACUAAUGUAUAAUUAUUCAUAAUAUUAAAUGACAAUAAUUUAUCAUUAUAUAAGAAAUCCAUCUGGGAGAACAUUUAAACAGGCCUUAUAUCUCUCAUUUCUAAAUGAGAGAUGGUGGUGGCUGGUAUGGGGUGACAGCGGAUAUAAACAGAAACAAGUAGACAAACCUCCAUACCUGAGAAGACAUCCUGAACACUGUGUGGUGGUGCCAAAUAGCAAAGAAGAUGACAAAGACUUCUGGCCUGCUUAACAAGGGUGGAUAAUGAGGCCAGGUACCCAGAUAGAGAGGAAUGAAUUGAAUUAUUAAGUCUAGUGGGGAGUGGGUGGAGAGGAAAUCCAGUGCUGUUGAGAUAUUUUAGAUAUGAGAUGUCUGUCAUAAGCACAUCCACGUAAAGAUGAAGUAGCUUUAAUGGGGACUUUGGAGUUUAGGAAGGAGGUGCGGGCUGGAAACUUCAAUUUGAGAGUCAUCUGAUAUUUAAACAUGGCUUAAUGAGAUGAGAUCAUUUAGGGAGAGAACUGAAAUAAAGGAGAGAUGGGAGCACCUAACUGAGCCCUAGGGCGCUUCAACUUUUGUAGGUCAGAGUAGAGGAGGGGAACUGUUGCAGAAGAAGCAUGAGGCAACUGCUGUCAGGCCCAUUAGAGGUAACCCGAGUGGAGAGGUGGCCUGAGCAGGUGAGGGUGAAGUCAAAGCUUCCUUCCACCUGUGGGGCCUGGCACGUAGGAGGUACUCGGGCCAUCCUGAUUGCAGAGUCUGCUGAGCUUUAUUAAAAGCAUAAUUUAAUUACAGUAUACUUCAGAAAAUUCAGGAAAUAGAGAGGAAGAACUAGUCAUGAUCCUAUCAACACAACACAGUGAUUAUAAUUUGUAUUACCUUCCAGUCUUGCUCGUUUUCCAUUCAUGGUGGAGCUGAGCGUACUAAGCAGAGCAGCCUACUUAGCGACAUCUCUUACCACGAGCAAUCUUUCCAUGCUGCUACCUGGUCUUCACGAACCCCCUAUUUAAUAAGUCUGCGUCACUGUUUCAUUGGAUGCUUGCACGGUAAUUACCACUCCUCUCCAUACUGCUUCUCAUUUCUUUCAAGUAUAAAUAAUGCUGCCAUAAAUAUCAUUAUCCAUGAAGCCUUUCCUUGUUUGGUGUUAUUUCCUUGAGAUAAAUUCCCGGCGGAGGAACUGAGUUAAAGUAUACGCUAAAAACAUUUUUUUUUAUAAAACUAGUUCAGACAAUGUUGAGAGAGAGGCAAGAUGGGACAUCCAAAAGAGAAAAUGCCAACUGAUGUGAAACAGGAGCAGAUUUGGUAAAUGCCAUGUGCGGGGGGGGGGGG